GAUGAACGCUGGCGGCGUGCCUAAUACAUGCAAGUCGAGCGAACGGACGAGAAGCUUGCUUUUCUGAUGUUAGCGGCGGACGGGUGAGUAACACGUGGAUAACCUACCUCUAAGACUGGGAUAACUUCGGGAAACCGGAGCUAAUACCGGAUAAUAUUUUGAACCGCAUGGUUCAAAAGUGAAAGACGGUCUUGCUGUCACUUAUAGAUGGAUCCGCGCUGCAUUAGCUAGUUGGUAAGGUAACGGCUUACCAAGGCAACGAUGCAUAGCCGACCUGAGAGGGUGAUCGGCCACACUGGAACUGAGACACGGUCCAGACUCCUACGGGAGGCAGCAGUAGGGAAUCUUCCGCAAUGGGCGAAAGCCUGACGGAGCAACGCCGCGUGAGUGAUGAAGGUCUUCGGAUCGUAAAACUCUGUUAUUAGGGAAGAACAUAUGUGUAAGUAACUGUGCACAUCUUGACGGUACCUAAUCAGAAAGCCACGGCUAACUUCGUG
rnacentral:rRNA from 1 species